AGACAUUUGUUUUCUGUGCUACAAAAAGGAUUAUUAGGUGAAGUCUAAUGGGACCAUGGAGUGGGCACAUGAGCUGGAGAUUCAUGCAAUAGACAUGCCUGCUGUUCCUUGCUGCCUUGUCAGCAUGUGGUGUUCUUGAUGCCCCAUGAGCAUAGCAUUCCAGGGAAACCAUGAUGCAUGGAAGUGUGACUCAAGAAUGGCAUCAAAUAGCAAAUAAAAAAUAUCAUGAUAAGAUGAGAGAGAGAGACUGGAAGAAAGAAGAAAGCUCUGUAUUUUAGUAACUUCAAUGAUACCUUUUUCCUGCUUUUUGAAAAAGAGGUCCCACAUUUUCAUUUUGAACAAGGAGCCCCACAGUUGUGAGAACAGCCUGACAGAGGGCAUGGAGACUGAGGAUAGGAGGCCCACUCAGAUCCCAGAGUUAUUCAGAGG
rnacentral:lncRNA from 1 species